rnacentral:misc_RNA from 1 species
UUGAAUAAAUCUGGCGUGGGUUGUAGCUGGCUCUCCGGAGCAUGUGCACGCCUCGUCACCUUUAUCUUUCCACCUGUGCACACACUGUAGUCCUGGAUACCUCUCGCCGAAAGGCGGAUGCAGAGGCUGCUGCUGCGAAAGCUCAGCUUCCUCUGAAUUUCCAGGUCUAUGCUCUUUUACACACCCCAAACGAAUGUUAUAGAAUGUAUUCACUGGGCCUUUGUGCCUAUAAACCUAAUA